UACGAAGGGGGCUAGCGUUGCUCGGAAUCACUGGGCGUAAAGCGCACGUAGGCGGCUUACUAAGUCAGGGGUGAAAUCCUGGAGCUCAACUCCAGAACUGCCUUUGAUACUGGUGAGCUUGAGUCCGGGAGAGGUGAGUGGAACUCCGAGUGUAGAGGUGAAAUUCGUAGAUAUUCGGAAGAACACCAGUGGCGAAGGCGGCUCACUGGCCCGGUACUGACGCUGAGGUGCGAAAGCGUGGGGAGCAAACAG
rnacentral:rRNA from 1 species